UGCCUAGGCCGUACGGCAUCACAUGCAAGUCGAAGCGGUAACACAGGGAGCUUGCUCCUGGGUGACGAGCGGCGGACGGGUGAGUAAUGUCUGGGAAACUGCCCGAUGGAGGGGGAUAACUACUGGAAACGGUAGCUAAUACCGCAUAACGUCGCAAGACCAAAGAGGGGGACCUUCGGGCCUCUUGCCAUCGGAUGUGCCCAGAUGGGAUUAGCUAGUAGGUGGGGUAACGGCUCACCUAGGCGACGAUCCCUAGCUGGUCUGAGAGGAUGACCAGCCACACUGGAACUGAGACACGGUCCAGACUCCUACGGGAGGCAGCAGUGGGGAAUAUUGCACAAUGGGCGCAAGCCUGAUGCAGCCAUGCCGCGUGUAUGAAGAAGGCCUUCGGGUUGUAAAGUACUUUCAGCGAGGAGGAAGGCAUUAAGGUUAAUAACCUUGGUGAUUGACGUUACUCGCAGAAGAAGCACCGGCUAACUCCGUGCCAGCAGCCGCGGUAAUACGGAGGGUGCAAGCGUUAAUCGGAAUUACUGGGCGUAAAGCGCACGCAGGCGGUCUGUCAAGUCGGAUGUGAAAUCCCCGGGCUCAACCUGGGAACUGCAUUCGAAACUGGCAGGCUAGAGUCUUGUAGAGGGGGGUAGAAUUCCAGGUGUAGCGGUGAAAUGCGUAGAGAUCUGGAGGAAUACCGGUGGCGAAGGCGGCCCCCUGGACAAAGACUGACGCUCAGGUGCGAAAGCGUGGGGAGCAAACAGGAUUAGAUACCCUGUAGUCCACGCCGUAAACGAUGUCGAUUUGGAGGUUGUUCCCUUGAGGAGUGCUUCCGGAGCUAACGCGUUAAAUCGACCGCCUGGGGAGUACGGCCGCAAGGUUAAAACUCAAAUGAAAUUGACGGGGGCCGCACAAGCGGUGGAGCAUGGUGGUUUAAUUCGAAUGCCAACCGCCGAAGAACCCUA
rnacentral:rRNA from 1 species